AUGCACAAAUAUAUUCCAGUCACUUGCACGCCUACUUACACACAACGUGCAUGGACACACAUUCACUUCGUCGCAGACACACACACACACGCACACAGUGGUGGCACCCACACACUCGAUGUAUUGUCCUCGGCGACAUAAUAGGACAUAUUGACCGAGUCUGCGCUGGGAUAUUAGUUUAGAGUGAAUGGACAAUGCAUCUUCAGCACACACAAGGACACGCUGGUAAAGAGCCGUCCAACGAGGAGGAACCUCGGCACCUGGAAGAGGCCGCGGCUCCUUUCCACUUCAAACCUCUUAUGGUAGUUCUUCUUUUUCCAACCAGCAGCUGAGUACAGUCAGACCAGAGAUACUCCUCAGCACCUUUUCUACAGACGAGUCGAAGCAGCAACAGACGGACGCACACCACGAGAGAGAACGCUCUCACGAGCAAUGAGUGGAAGGAGUUUACCGCCUUAGCUGUCAAUCACCGCGGCCCCGCCCAGAGCACACAGGCAAGGUGUGAUGAAGUCCCGCCCACAUUGCAGGGGAAAAUGACACAUCGCUCUCCGUUGGCGUCUGCUGGUCGAAGAAAAAAGGUCAAAAAGCUGCCGUGUGGCGAUUCUUGGUCUGCUGGCGAAGCCUCUGGACCCCCAGAAGAUCUGGACCAGAUUCCUGUCGGUCACAGGUAUCACUUGACUGGCAACCCGGAAACCCGGAAGUUACCUCAAGCAGGCUGAAGAAGCCCAUUCACAGGAGAAGAUGGCUGGAGGAGAGGGGAGGGCCGGCGUGCCAGGCAUUCCACAGCAGCACACAGUGGACACAUUAUUAUGACAUUUACAAGGCCAGCUCGACGGAUGCAGCGUGAUCCGUGUGUGUGUGUGUGUGUGUGUGUGUGUGUGUGUGUGUGUGUGUAAGGAAGGGAGGUCGGCUCCCAGUGAUGGAGCCUCGGAGCGGGACGAGGCACAGAAACACAAAUCCAGUGCUGCAAACUCACGACUGCCCUUGAUACAUCGCUGGCGUGCUGCUGCUUUUUUUAAAUGACGACACUUCAUAAUGCAAAGGGAGGGAAACAGAUGCACACCUUUCGCCCCGUUCAGGAAUAUUUGGCGGGAUAAUCGCUCCCGUGUCGAGAGUGAGGUGUCUGCAGGAAUAGCAACCAGCAAAACAAGAAAUCUGAAUUAUUCCUUUAGAGUUUGAAGGUUUAACAUGAUAUUUGAGGCCAUUUAUUGCACAAACGGCCCUUUGACUGACUCCUCCGGUGAGGCCGUAUUUACAAUAUGCUAUUCACCAUAUUGCACGAACGCUUGCAUGGGAAGCGCUCCGAUCAACCUGACAACGAAUGCAUCGUUUCCAACGUCGGCCAACGCUUGCGUUGACGUCCAUGUGACUCGGAGAGCUGGAGGCUUUUAGCGUUCCCCGGGUCUCGCGGAACCCAUUAGGCCGAUUGGUCCCAGCAGCGGCCGUUUGUGACAUCGAACUCUCACGACCGGAGACGCGCAGCUUCAGCGGUCGCAGCGAGGAACGCGAUCAGGUGGAAUGUGCGUGAUGGUCACGUUGACAUUUUUUGCUGCUGGUAUGUUGUUGACAAGCGGACAAGUGAACAACACAUCCAGUCAUGGAGCCGUGAGGGACACGCGAUCCUGAACCCCGUGUCCUCAUGCCCACAAUGGGUUCAACCUUUUAUUCACCAUUGUCUGGCGAAAGUAAGUCCGUUUUACCUCUCAGCUGCUGCUGGCGGAGACGGGUGGAUGGAGAAGAGAAGGGUGAGCCGGGGCAGAAGGCGAAAGUAGACGCGAUAAACUCUCAUUUGUUUCUCUUCCUGCUGAAUGUUUCGGCCGUACAUCGCAAAGAUUCCUGUCCUGUGUGGUGUCAUCUGUUGGUGACAUACUUCUGCCCUUAUUUCUGAAAGACUGUGACCACGAGCUCAUGACCAUCAUAACUUACUUAUUCAACUAAUCGAGCUGCUAGCUGGACGGCCACAGCCAGAGGAAGUCCUGUUUCUGGAUAUGUUGUAUUGGUAACAUUACACACAUACAUAACCAGAAUCAGAAUUCUGGGGGGAAAAAAUCCAAAGAUUUUCUUCUGGAAACACGUGUUGUAUUUGGUUUGACUAAGACUGCGACAAAAUGCUGAAUAAGAGAGGGAUUUGGGAUAUUUCAACAUUGCAGUGUUAUUGAAACCAAAAGUGACACAC